UUAAUACUUCCUCCGUUCCAAUUUUUUGUCUUAGGUUUGUUUAAGAAUGGAUGUAUCUAAAUACUAAAANNUGACUAGAUACAUUCAUAUAUAAACAAAACUAAGAUAAGAAUUUUGGGACAGAGGGAGUAUAAU
rfam:Hordeum vulgare subsp. vulgare, WGS project CAJW01000000 data, contig: morex_contig_41750